rnacentral:rRNA from 1 species
AAAGCGCGCGUAGACGGUUUUGUAAGUCAGAUGUGAAAUCCCCGGGCUCAACCUGGGAACUGCAUUUGAUACUGCAUGGCUAGAGUAUCGAAGAGGGAAGUGGAAUUUCCGGUGUAGCGGUGAAAUGCGUAGAUAUCGGAAGGAACACCAGUGGCGAAAGCGACUUCCUGGUCGAAUACUGACGUUCAUGUGCGAAAGCGUGGGGAGCAAACAGGAUUAGAUACCCGUGU